AUGGGGCAUGGGCUUCAGGAGUAUGCAAGCUGAAAUGGAGGGAGGAAAAUGUGUAUUGAUUUUACGCGGGGAAAUGGACCUACAGACCCAGUCCAAGCUACAAAGCUUUCUUCUGAGUGUGGCAUCCACAUCAGGAGCCGAAUGCAUGCUGCUACGCACUGGAAUGACUAUGACAAAAGCCCACUCAAACAUGUUAUUCCCCAUGCUAUUAAAGAUAUCAUGCUUAACUUUGAGAUGGAAAAGGAUGACAAGGUUGGGAAUGAUGUAUGCACAAAAGUAAUACUGAAGGGUGUUCGACAACAACGCUACAGGCUAAAGAAGAAAUACUUCAAUGGUUAUACUGCUCAGGAAGCAUUAUCAAAUAAACCAGCGAACAUCACUCAUGAGAAUUGGACCAGCCAUGUCAAUAAAUGGUCUGAUGAAAGAAACAAGGAAAUAUGUCAAAUGAAUAAGGAAAACCGAGAAGCUGUCAAGCAUCACCAAAAGACUGGAUCUAUGUCUUAUGUUGCCUUUUUCAGCAAACUUAAAAAAGACAAGUACAAUAAUCAGGACCCAAGUCCCAUUGAGUUCAAAGACACCCAUACAAACAGCAAGACUGAUAGCAUGAGCGAGCCGACACUUCUAGCUCAUAAUGCGAUGGAAAAGAAAAGGGAAACACAAUCAGAAGGUGAGUAGCUAGUAUCCGAUACAGCGAUUGUGGCUGAAGUUCUAAAGGAAGAAAGUGCCCAUAGCACCUUCCUUUCCAGCAUGGGGUAUGCAUCAAGAUCCGAGAGGUCUGGGAGCUCUACUUCAUCAGCCCAGAUCCGAGUUUUAGAAGAAAGAAUUGAACAGAAGGAUAGAGAGGCAAGAGAUGCAAAUGAUAGGCAUCGGGAGGAGUUAGCCGCAUGGCUUGAAGCACAAGAGAGAGCAUUUGAAGAGAUACAAAAGAAACAACAAGAAGAAUUGGAAGCUCUAAAGAAGAGCCAGCAAGAGAAGAAUGAAGCUUGUGUAAAGAAGCAAAAGGAGACGGAUAAUCUGCUAGAUUUUCUCUUGAGGGCUCAAGCAACUCAGCAAUCCCAGUCCAAACCAGAUGGUUCAUGA
rnacentral:rRNA from 1 species